AGAACGAACGCUGGCGGCAGGCCUCAAACAUGCAAGUCUAGGGGGUGUAGCAAUACAUCACCGGCGGACGGGUGCGUAACACGUGGGAAUAUACCUUUUGGUUCGGAACAACGCAGGGAAACUUGCGCUAAUACCGAAUGUGCCCUUACGGGGAAAGAUUUAUCGCCAAAGGAUUAGCCCGCGUAGGAUUAGCUAGUUGGUGAGGUAAUGGCUCACCAAGGCUCCGAUCCUUAGCUGUUCUGAGAGGAAGAUCAGCCACACUGGGACUGAGACACGGCCCAGACUCCUACGGGAGGCAGCAGUUGGGAAUCUUGCGCAAUGGGCGAAAGCCUGACGCAGCGACGCCGCGUGCGGGAUGAAGGCCUUCGGGUUAUAAACCGCUUUCAGCAGGGACGAAAUUGACGGUACCUGCAGAAGAAGCCCCGGCAACUACGUGCCAGCAGCCGC
rnacentral:rRNA from 1 species